CCUGCCCAGUGGCUAAAGCUAAACGGCCGCGGUAUCUUGACCGUGCAAAGGUAGCAUAAUCAUUUGUCUUUUAAAUGGAGACUUGUAUGAAUGGCGGAACCUUCUUCAACUGUCUCCCUUUCCACUCUCCCAAAUUUCUAUUUCUGUGAAGAAGCAGAAAUAAAAGAGAAAGACGAGAAGACCCUGUCGAGCUUCAGCUUAAAGGUGAAAAACUAAACAUCAUCCAAAAGCUUUGGUUGGGGCAACCAUGGAGAAAACACAUCCUCCAGAAAAAAUAGAAGAAAACCCUUCACUAUUUUCAACCUCAAAGAACCAGAAACUGGUAAUCGGAAAAAGUUACCGCAGGGAUAACAGCGUAAUCUUCUCUAAGAGUCCUUAUUGACGAGAAGGUUUGCGACCUCGAUGUUGGAUUGGGGCCUCCUUUGGGUGCAGAAGCUCUAAAAGGUUAGACUGUUCGUCUAUUAAAGCCCUACGUGAUC
rnacentral:rRNA from 1 species